rnacentral:rRNA from 1 species
CGGGGGGCUGCAGUCAAGAAUCUUCCACAAUGGCCGAAAGGCUGAUGGAGCGACACCGCGUGCAGGAAGACGCCCUUCGGGGUGUAAACUGCUUUUAAGAGGGACGAACUAAUGACGGUACCUUUUGAAUAAGGGGUUGCUAACCUCGUGCCAGCAGCAGCGGUAAUACGAGGGCCCCAAGCGUUAUCCGGAUUUACUGGGCGUAAAGCGUCCGCAGGCGGUUUGGUAAGUUUUUAGUGAAAUACCGAGGCUCAACCUCGGGCCCGCUAAAGAUACUGCCAAACUAGAGACUGGAAGAGGUAAGCGGAACUGCCGGUGUAGCGGUAAAAUGUGUUAAUAUCGGCAGGAACACCAAAGGCGAAGGCAGCUUACUGGUACAGUUCUGACGCUAAUGGACGAAAGCGUGGGGAGCGAAAGGGAUUAGAUACCCCUGUAGUC